rnacentral:rRNA from 1 species
UUCCUACGGGAGGCAGCAGUGGGGAAUUUUGCGCAAUGGGCGGAAGCCUGACGCAGCAAUACCGCGUGAGUGAUGAAGGCUCUCGGGUCGUAAAGCUCUGUCAGAGGGGAAGAACCUCCUGUCGCCUAAUAAGCGGCAGGCCUGACGGUACCCUCAGAGGAAGCACCGGCUAACUCCGUGCCAGCAGCCGCGGUAAUACGGAGGGUGCAAACGUUGUUCGGAAUUAUUGGGCGUAAAGAGCAUGUAGGCGGUUGUUUAAGUCUGAUGUGAAAGCCCUGGGCUCAACCCAGGAAGGGCAUUGGAUACUGGACAACUUGAGUACGGGAGAGGAAAGUGGAAUUUCGAGUGUAGGGGUGAAAUCCGUAGAUAUUCGAAGGAACACCAGUGGCGAAGGCGGCUUUCUGGACCGAUACUGACGCUGAGAUGCGAAAGCGUGGGGAGCAAACAGGAUUAGAUACCCUGGUAGUCCACGCCGUAAACGAUGGGUACUAGGUGUCGCGGGUAUUGACCCCUGCGGUGCCAAAGCUAACGCAUUAAGUACCCCGCCUGGGGAGUACGGCCGCAAGGCUAAAACUCAAAUGAAUUGACGGAA